UACCCUGAAUGUGGUGGUAUUUGGAGG
rnacentral:piRNA from 1 species